CACUUAGCAGCUCCUCCAGGAUGUGUGGCUGCUGAGUUUGCUCAUUAGCAUUUCAUAGUCUGCAGUAAGCAAGUGCAGCCACCAGGGGGCAAGAUGCACCUUUAACCCUGGCCUUACUGAAUACCAGAGGGUCCUGGUCUGGUCCUUGAAGGUGCAUCUGGAACUUCACAUCUCAGGAUAUACAGACCAGCCCUGCAGAGCAAGCAAGCUGAAAUAUCUACUGUUUCCAAAAUCUCCUAGAAUUCCCCACCCCCAUCCUCUCCGUUCAUACCAACUCAAACCAAUGCAUCUGGACCUUUGCACAGGGCUGGGAGUCUCUCACUCAACAACAGAAGAAAUUAUUACACGACUGCAAAAUUGGAAGAUCAAACAGGAGAAUUUUUCCCUUAAGAAAAAGAAAGAAGAAAUCUUGCAGACGUCCAGAAAAAGUCACUCAAGCUUCCAGGAAGCAACAUACACAUAUUUAUCCUCUAGGGGGCAGGAGUUCUCUGUUUCUGGUGGAAAACACUUCACUGGUCCGGAGUUUUGCCUCUUGGAAUGCUAGGGAAACUUCACUUAGCUGGGUCUUAAUUUGAACAGAAAGAAAACAUUCCAGCUUCGAAUUAGAGAAAAGUCUAACCCAGAAACUAGAAGUACUCAUUCCAGAAGACAGAGGCACAAAGCUCUUUCAAUCUGCUCUGACUGCUGGUGAGCUCACAGAUGCAGCUCCACAUGUGUGCUCUCAAGAAUGCCUGGCAAAAGCCACAAGAUACAACCAUCCACGACAGCAGGAAGCAGCAUGGCAGGUUUUUGCUUCGGAUGCCCUGUUGAUGAUCUAGCCAGCUGUUCCUUGAUGCCCUUUUCUGAGCUGGUUAGAAACAUCCCAGAGAUAAGCAAGACCCAAAUAAAUUGUCUGUCACUGCCUGGGUUCUCUUUCAAAAACAGUGCCAAACACAAGGAGCUGCCUUCAGAAAACUCGUUUGGGAGAUGAUUGCAGGGUGCAAGAGUGAGGAACUUGUACUGUGCCAGCCAUUCCUGUCUGCUGGGGACUGGGGAGUUUGCUAAGAUUUGAGACUUUCACUGCUAAAAUUGGAGAAGUCUCAAAUAAAUGAGGGAUGAGUUGGUUGUGCAGGAACUGGGUGCUGUACUCAAAGGAGGUAAGCUGGGCAAGGCUGGGCUCAUGUGUUAUUAGAUCCCACAGCAUAGAGGGCACCUCAGAAUUGUAUGCCCGCAGGAUGGACGUGGGGAGAUUUGUCCACUGGUUUCCAUUCUCCAUUAGUCAGUUUUGCUCCUUGGGGGCGUUCAUUCUGCCCACACUCAGGGUUCCUGUGCCUGAGUGCCUGUGAACUCCCACAGGCAUUUCCCACUGAGGCUUCAGAGAAGCCCUGGGUGGAAAGUGAGAGAAACACAAUACAACUGAGGAAUAGCAUUGUGACACCUACACAAACCCGAUUGCUGCAGCAAUGGCAUUUGGACUGAUGGGGUGAAGUGGGCCCAAGAAGCGUCCUAUGCAUGAAGGUUAAUUUCACCUUCUUUUGGUUGGCUUAUCGUUGAGCUCAGUAUGGGAUCAUCAACCUCUGCUCUUAGCUUCCAGUUAAUUUAAAUGAAAUAAAGUUCUCAGAUUUUUUAUUUAAAUAAGAAAUCCAGCAAUGUAGUUUCAUUUCUCCUUGUGUAUAUGGAGGAAGGUGCCGUGCCAAUGAUCCCCUUCUCACUAAAAAAGGAAAAUUUGAUGAGACAAGCAAUCAAAUCACAUGCUUGUUGGAGAUUAAAAAGUCUUACUAGCCCUGCACAGUGAUGAAUGCCUAUAACCCCAGAGACUUGGGAGGCUAAGGCAGAAGGAUCUUAAGUUUGAGGCCUUGGCAAAUUUGCAAGAUCCUGUCUCAAAAUUAAAAAUAAAAAAGGCCUGGGGUUGUAGCUCAGUGGUACGGUGUCCCUGGGUUCAAUCCCCAUUACAAAUAACAACAAAAAAGCCUUACUUUUGGUGUUACAUAAUACAACCUGGUUAUGUCUUACAAACAUCACUUGCAAAAUUCCUUUUUGGAAAUCAUAUUUGCAAGGAUGAUUAAUGUGUAUUUUCACUUCCAUAAUUCUUUCAAACCUUUUAUUAUGGAUAAUUUUAGAAAUAAACAUAAGUAGAAGAGCAUAAUGAAGAGCAUCACUCUUUUUCCAUCUCCUUCAGUUAAGAAGGCAAAUGGCAGCAAGCAAUAGAAAGCCUAUUUAUAUGAUCCUAAAUAAAUAACAGCACUGUUGGGAUCAAAUCACAUAAUGUCUAGACAUAUAUAGUCCAGGGCUGAUGGAGAAUUGAAUAAAAAUCUUCAAAAAUUAA